rnacentral:rRNA from 1 species
AACGAACGCUGGCGGCAGGCCUAACACAUGCAAGUCGAGCGAGGACUUCGGUCCUAGCGGCGGACGGGUGAGUAACGCGUGGGAACGUGCCCUUUGCUUCGGAAUAGCCCUGGGAAACUGGGAGUAAUAACGAAUGUGACCUUUGGGGGAAAGAUUUAUCGGCAAAGGAUCGGCCCGCGUUGGAUUAGGUAGUUGGUGGGGUAAUGGCCUACCAAGCCGACGAUCCAUAGCUGGUUUGAGAGGAUGAUCAGCCACACUGGGACUGAGACACGGCCCAGACUCCUACGGGAGGCAGCAGUGGGGAAUCUUAGACAAUGGGCGCAAGCCUGAUCUAGCCAUGCCGCGUGAGCGAUGAAGGCCUUAGGGUUGUAAAGCUCCUUCAGCGAGGAAGAUAAUGACUGUACUCGCAGAAGAAGCCCCGGCUAACUCCGUGCCAGCCGCCGCAGUAACAC